rnacentral:rRNA from 1 species
UACGAAGGGGGCUAGCGUUGCUCGGAAUCACUGGGCGUAAAGGGUGCGUAGGCGGGUCUUUAAGUCAGGGGUGAAAUGCCAAGGCUCAACCUUGGAACUGCCUUUGAUACUGGAGAUCUUGAGUCCGGGAGAGGUGAGUGGAACUGCGAGUGUAGAGGUGAAAUUCGUAGAUAUUCGCAAGAACACCAGUGGCGAAGGCGGCUCACUGGCCCGGAACUGACGCUGAGACGCGAAAGCGUGGGGAGCAAACAGG